UACGUAGGGUGCAAGCGUUAAUCGGAAUUACUGGGCGUAAAGCGUGCGCAGGCGGUGAUGUAAGACAGGUGUGAAAUCCCCGGGCUUAACCUGGGAAUGGCAUUUGGGACUGCAAGGCUUGAGUGCGGCAGAGGAGACUGGAAUUCCUGGUGUAGCAGUGAAAUGCGUAGAUAUCAGGAGGAACACCGAUGGCGAAGGCAGGUCUCUGGGCUGACACUGACGCUCAUGCACGAAAGCGUGGGGAGCAAACAGG
rnacentral:rRNA from 1 species